AACCCAUUCUAUAGAAUUGUCUCUCUUCACUAUAAGCUGGUACCUACUAGUUUUCCACACAGCCUCAACUCUUUGAUUGAUCCUCAAUUUUAGUAUUCAUACUAAUUAAUUAAGGGGGUCCUCAUUUGUUGCAAGAAAAAAGCUGCAUUAUUCGCAGGAUUUUGCAUAUUUGGCAAGCCAUGUAUGCUGAAUCAGUGGCUAAGUUGGUAGAUGUGUUGGUUUCAAUGCAUGUCGUGGCAUUUUGUUUGGGAAAAAAAAGAAAUGAGAAGCAUCGAGGGGCAUUUAAGUUAAAGAAAUGUUGAAACCAAAGACCAUCUUCUACGUUUCUCCAUUUAAGACAGAGUAUGAGGUGCUUCUUAAUCAAAUACAAUGUCACGAACAAGUUUGGUGGGCGAUUCAGCAAGUCCUUCGUCAGGUACAGUUGAAGAAGGAGAGUCUCAUUCAAAAGUCAAGGAGCUAGAGAUAUGGACUACCCACACUAAGGUACUAUUCGUGUGGAGAAAUUGUGCCAAGAUGGACAUUGUGGAUUGAGAAAACCCUGGAAGAAGGUUUUUUGGAUGCAAAAACUACAAUCAAGUGUGCCUUAGCACUAAUCUCCUUUGAUCUGAAUUUGUCUAGUCUGGGCAUUGAGUGUCAAGUAUGAAUGUCAAGGUGGAUGCCAUUUUUCUCAUGGCUAGAUGAUGAAAUGGAGGAAAGGCCGAAGCACAUUAUUCUCAAGCUUCCAGGUCAUAUUGAGAUGUUGAUUAAAGAGAAGGAAAGGCUGUGUGGAUGAAGGGAGAAGGAAUAAGAGAUUGAUGGCAUUACAAAUGGGUUGGAUGGGAUGAAAAAGCUGAAGAUGGCAAUAAGAGCUUUAAUAUUGCCUUGGGUGUUCCUUGUAACAUAUUUAGUUGCUCCUUUGUUUAUGGAAAUGUAGUACAUUUUUAUAAUGUCAUGUGGACCUUUUAUGCUUCUAUUUGAGACCAUUAAAGAUUAAACUAA